rnacentral:rRNA from 1 species
GAUGAACGCUGGCGGCGUGCCUAAUACAUGCAAGUCGAGCGAACAGACGAGGAGCUUGCGCCUUUGACGAUAGCGGCGGACGGGUGAGUAACACGUGUGUAACCUACCUAUAAGAGUGGGAUAACUUCGGGAAACCGGAGCUAACACCGGAGAAUAUUUCGAACCGCAUGGUUCGAUAGUGAAAGAUGGCUUUGCGAUCACUUAUAGAUGGACCUGCGCCGUAUUAGCUAGUUGGUAAGGUAACGGCUUACCAAGGCAACGAUACGUAGCCGACCUGAGAGGGUGAUCGGCGACACUGGAAGUGAGACACGGUCCAGAGUCCUACGGGAGGCAGCAGUAGGGAAUCUUACGCAAUGGGCGAAAGCCUGACGGAGCAACGCCGAGUGAGUGAUGAAGGUCUUCGGAUCGUAAAACUCUGUUAUUAGGGAAGAACAAAUGUGUAAGUAACUGUGCACGUCUUGACGGUACCUAAUCAGAAAGCCACGGCUAACUACGUG